AGAGCUCAUUGGCACAAGAAUGGGUUUCCCAUCUGAGCAGAAGAUCACUGUGCUGUUUUUGACCACUGACGGAUUAUCUGCCUGAGCUCCAGAAACUGUAAGCCAAAAGGGUCCAUCUCUUAGAGGGCUUGAAGUACUUCUUUUCCCAUUGAGCCCAGAGAGAAUUCUUUAGUGAAUCAGAGAUUAGAGAGAGAGAGAGAGAGAACCUGUACCCAGGUGAAGGGGACCGCCAGAUGGGAAAGGAGCAGCCCCCAAGGGGCACAACCACUGCAGACGCAGCAAGGCUAGACAUUCCUGGCUCAGAAUCUUUUGGACUCUGACAAGUAAAAAUACCAAUCAUCCGGCACUUUCUUCCUACCCUUACAAAAUGGCAUCCAAACAGAAACCAGACCAGACCAGGAGAGCAGUUAAAGACCAUCUUGUCCACUGACUUGGAAACUUCUUUUAGCCAUGGGCAACCACAGUUGGUACAGAGGCACUGUAUGUAGAAAAGACACAAGAGGAGCUGCUUUGGGUGCAGAAAGGGAAUGUUUGUUGGGCACGGGAGCAGAGACCCUGGAGCUCUUCCAGAUGGUUUGUCUCCCUUCCAGCACCCACAUCCUGCUCAGAGAGCACAGUUGAAAAAUGCCAAUCUAGUCCAGCUCCCAAUUCCUUAUCCCCUUCUUUAAAAUCCAUGUCACAUAGCUGCCCACGUGCAGGGAAAAAAAUCCCUCACUCUCUAAAGCAGCAUGUUCUAUCUUUGGCUAGUUCUUCCUUUUUUUGUACCACCAUGCUUUGUUUUUCUGAAAUGUCCACACAUCAGCACUCUUUGGUACCACACUAAGACAUUUUAUCCUGAGAUCCCUUGACUUAAAUCAAGGAUUUCACAAAACUCCCAACUUACAUCUUUGGAGUAUGUCUGUGUUUCAUUUUUAUUGCAAAUACUAUACUGAAAACAGAAAAAGGAAUAUUAUUUUUGGAAAAGGGAGGGUCUGCUGGGAAGCAAUCUCAACAGGAUGUGGGAAAUAAAGAGCAUAUAAAUUAACCACAUAUAUAUAUAAACAAAAGCAGAGUCCCUAAGACGAAAUAUCUACUCAAUGUUGGAAUGUCAAAAUAAAAACAACUGAGUAACAAAA